rnacentral:lncRNA from 1 species
AAACGAGACUCAGAUUUUUAUGAGCUGACCAAACUGAUAGAAAAGGACAUAAAAUCUUGACACAAACUCCCAUUUAAAGUACAACAGUUUCCAAACGAUUCUUCCGGCGUUCAGCACCAGGGCCUUUGCAAACUAUGCAAAGUUAAAUGAGUUACUCUGUGUGUGACAUGGCAUCGUCUAAACAAUAUUUAGCCAUUCAGGACAAAUUGCUUUGAUACAUAGAGGCUAAUUCAUGCUUUUUGAAGAUCGAGAAACAAUAUGGGGUUUGAGGCUUCACGAGACGAAAUAUAAAUCGUAUUCGACAAAAAAGCAUGAAGUAGUCUAUUUAUUAUAUACAUCUCCCAUUUUUACAUAUUUUGAAUUGAAAUUUAGUCAGAUCUUUCAACUACAAAAACGGCGAUGAUAUUUCUCGCGUCGUGACCUGCUCAUAUACGACCUGUCGCUUUCACUACGAUUAAGUAAAUAGUUCACUCAAUUUAUACUCAUUUCAAAUUGUCAAAGAAAACAAAAUACAAAUGUGAAUCAAAAACAUUUACUCAAAUUGGCAUUUUAUCAAUUUCUUAAUUUAUUAUUGCAUACAACUCAUUGUCCAAACAAUGUUUCGCACCAACGUCAAUGCGCAGGAAUACAUAAUAAUCCAUAGUCAGCUGAUAGUGUUCAGAGAAAAACAACGUCGCACACUCGCUUCGCUUCGAAAGUUUGAACUUUUGUCAACAAAGUCAACAACGUAAAAGGAUAUAACAAACACUGAAUAUGAACGUGAAAUGGUAAGUCCAAACAUAUUUUGUUCUCAAUAUUUUACGACGAACAUUAUUUAUGCCAUAUUUCAAGAUGAUCUUGUCAUUCCAUUGCAAGCAUGGUCUUUUCAAUGGUGGUAACUCGUCUUCACAUGUGUUUGAUGUUGUCGCAUUUGCAGAGUGUUUUUCGGAGGACAUUGAUACAUUGAACAUGUCAGGUGAUAGACAUAUGGUAACAUUUCCGUUGAUUGUAUUUCCAGACAACAAGGCUUGUCAGAAAAUGUUGAUUCUGAAAGCGGUUGGACACAGAUUGCAUCGCAAAUCCACCCUGCAUUGGUGCCGAGUCCGGAUUUCGAUCAGCUGUUGUGACUGUGCUGCUAGCGGUGUUACUGUUUGACAGAAUGCGAGAUAUUCCCUUCUGCUUUUCAGUAUUCAUACUUGAGUAAUUAUUUAUCGAAUUCACGUUUUUGUGGCCUGAAAUUUGGUAAACAAAAUAAUUCAAAAUAACAUUUUAUCCAUAUUUUGAAAGGUGAAUGAAUGAUAUUUGUAUUUCUCUUAAGAGUAUUUUAUUAUUUAUUUGGUAUUUCAUUACUUUAAUGUCUUAAAACAACAAGUUUAUAGGAUGAGGCCAAUAGAAUUUUCAAAUGUUUAUUUUUUUUACCGAUAUGUUCUCAUAAUAUUCAAAACAACACAUUUUAACCAUUGAUAUUAAAAAAGGAAACUAAAUUUGUUAUUGUCCCCAGACUUAUUAAAUAAAUGUAGAUAAAAUUAAUGUAUAUUUUCACUUCAGUGGAAUACCAACCUUCAAAAUUUAUUUCUAAAUAUGUUUUUUCAAUAUAAUUUUAUUGUUUUAAUAUAUGUAGUAUAAAUAUUUCAUAAAUUCAUUUUUUUGUUUACAGCUGUCAUCUCACCAGAUAUCUGAAUGAUGUCAUUGGGAGAAACGCCGCUGUCUGUUAACUUCUGGACCAGGUGUUUCCUCAUACUGAAAAAAAAACCAAAUGAUUCUGUUCUCAUGCCGAAGUUCAGAUAACAAAUCAUCCACAUGGUGUGAAGGAGGCUGAGGGGGUUAUCACCUCCGAGGGUCUUGGCAUCGUACAUGGCAUCAAUAACGUAUCUGACAGCUCUUCAGCAGCCUUAGGUUUGUUGCCCUUCCCAUUGAUUUAAGUUCUUUUUGUUUGCAUUUGAGUGUUUCUCUAGAUCUUGCAAAUGUGAUAUCGAAAAUGAUGUUAAAUGUAGAACCAAUUUGUUUCAAGUAUCUUUGUAGGGAAGAUUGGUAGCUUUUUAGACUGACUGGUUCAUAUUCUGAUCCAUCAUUUUUUUUUACUGACAGAAAAAAUCUUGACAAAUAGGAAUCUAAAGAUACUGCAUCGAUUUCUUCAAUUUUUCUAGUUUCCCCCUCAACCAUCACUAGGUACUCACUGAUAAUUCUAAUGUCUAUAUCUGUCUUCUUUCUUGUGUUUUCAUUUUCCAGAUCUCGAAGAAACCUUGAAACAUCAUCAUCACUGAUAGAUGGAUACUUUUUAUUACCAAGUAUGCUGUAAUCUAUUGCAGAUAAUAAAUUAUCCACAUCAU